AAUAAAUAUAUGUUAUUUACCGGCUGCGAGGUCCGGAUGAGAAAAACUGCGCCCGAGGUCUUGAAAACGGCCCGAGCCCGAAGGGCGAGGGACGUUUUGAAGACCGAGGGCACAGUUUUUCUCAUCCGGACCGACGCUGCCGGUAAAUAACGUGUUUAUU
rnacentral:miRNA from 1 species